rnacentral:lncRNA from 1 species
GACUAAACGCCUUAUUUGUAUUCCAGGCCUCCUCCGUGUCUCCUCACGUGUGACUGAGUGAGAGAGAGCGAGCGAGCGAGCGAGCGGGCGGGCGGGCGAGCACGAGAGAGAGAGGGAGGGAGACAGCGAGGGGCUGAGGCUCGCACGAUGCAGCAGAGCGCUGAGACAGACCUGACAUUUCCCUGAGAGGAGCCCACCGUGUCAAGUGGCGGCCACGGGUUCAGCUCCUGCAUUCCUCGCCACCGUCGCACCGAGAUCCCGGGAGAACGACGGCUGCAGCACUUUGGAAUAUAACAUUUUCAGAAAAAAUUUUUAUCCUCCUUUUGCGUGCCCCACACCACCUAUCCCCUGUGCCUCCUGCUCAAGCCCGGAGGAGGAUCUGUGUCGAGAAUCGUGGUUCGAAUGAGAAUAGCCCUGGGUGUCUGUGCCAGGCAGAAGAGGCGCUGCUGGACGGCUGGAGCGGGUCGCCCCCCUGCCACGCGCACAUACACGUGUGCCUCAGAGGGAGGAGGCCGCGGCCCGAGGGCAAGCGCUGCAGGAGACGCCAGAGCCGGACAGCGGAGCUCUCCAAGAGGCCGAGGAGCUGCCCCGCAGUGCGGAUGCUGUGACAACGUCUGUUUCGGGGACACACGCUCGAGCAUCCCGAAGUUUCUGUGCACGUGGCUGAAUCUGCGGCGAAGCGUUUCGAGGACACCUCGGGAGCAUCGCCGCACUCCUGAGCCCUCAUCCUGGGAUCGUCGCCGAGGGCCUCCUGUACACCGGGUCUCGCGUGGGAUUAGAAAACUGCCAGAAGUCGAAACAACCAAACUGGAUCUUACUUCUCAGCACCUUCACCCAGAGAACUUCUCCGGCGAACAGCAAACGUCACGAUGUUCCACUACGUCUGUUUCUCCCGAGUUUCCGGCGACUGAACAAAUGGUACUCACCGCGGUACUUUGUGUGAGCUACGUGUACGAAAUGAAGGUCAGUUAACAGAACACCCAAGACACAAGUCAUCUUCCUGAAGUUUCCAUCCCAACCACUCAACAGAGCGCACCACGCAGAAGGUCAGCUCAUCUCCCUGCCAAUAUCUGCAGUUUAUUUUUGACCCUUUUCUAAAACUGGAUUCAGGACCUCCUAAUGAGACGGUGUUACCCUGAGUUACCAUCUGUUCUUCCUGCUCGCUGGAAAACAGUCUCUGAUUUCUCCAGUGGAGAAGAUCAUCUUAGAAGGAUUAGUGAUGAAAUGGGG